rnacentral:rRNA from 1 species
UGGGGAAUAUUGGACAAUGGGCGAAAGCCUGAUCCAGCCAUGCCGCGUGUGUGAAGAAGGUCUUCGGAUUGUAAAGCACUUUAAGUUGGGAGGAAGGGCAGUUACCUAAUACGUGAUUGUUUUGACGUUACCGACAGAAUAAGCACCGGCUAACUCUGUGCCAGCAGCCGCGGUAAUACAGAGGGUGCAAGCGUUAAUAGGAAUUACUGGGCGUAAAGCGCGCGUAGGUGGUUUGUUAAGUUGGAUGUGAAAUCCCCGGGCUCAACCUGGGAACUGCAUUCAAAACUGACUGACUAGAGUAUGGUAGAGGGUGGUGGAAUUUCCUGUGUAGCGGUGAAAUGCGUAGAUAUAGGAAGGAACACCAGUGGCGAAGGCGACCACCUGGACUAAUACUGACACUGAGGUGCGAAAGCGUGGGGAGCAAACA